CUUAAUAUCGGUCACAGCUCUCCGGAGCUGAUCACACCACAACCAAAUUCUACCGUCGGAGCUUGGGAAAUCUGAUUUCCCAGCCUUUCGCGACUUUGAGUGGAUUUGGUGCGGGAAAUGCAAUUGAGGAAAUCAUGAAAAAGGUGACAAGGAAGGUGGGUAAGUAUGAAGUCGGCCGGACCAUUGGCGAAGGGACUUUCGCCAAGGUUAAAUUUGCACAGAACAUGGAGACAGGAGAGAGCGUAGCCAUGAAAGUCAUGGCCAAAAGCACCAUUCUUAAGCACAAAAUGGUUGAUCAGAUUAAAAGGGAGAUAUCUAUCAUGAAGAUUGUCAGACAUCCUAACAUAGUUAUGCUGCACGAGGUCUUGGCAAAUCGGACGAAGAUAUAUAUUAUUCUUGAGUUUGUUACUGGAGGAGAACUAUUUGAUAAAAUUGUUCACCAAGGAAGGCUUUCUGAAAAUGAAGCAAGGCGGUAUUUUCAACAGCUUAUAGAUGCAGUUGCUCAUUGUCAUAGUAAGGGUGUUUACCAUAGAGACCUGAAGCCUGAAAACCUACUUCUUGAUUCUGUUGGAAAUUUGAAGGUUUCUGACUUUGGAUUGAGUGCAUUGCCCCAGAAAGGGGUUGGACUUCUUCAUACCACAUGUGGAACCCCAAAUUAUGUUGCCCCUGAGGUGCUUAGCCACCAGGGUUAUGAUGGCGCUGCUGCUGAUGUAUGGUCAUGUGGAGUUAUUCUCUAUGUUCUGAUGGCUGGAUAUCUUCCAUUUGAUGAGGCAGACCUACCGACCUUGUACAAGAAGAUAAAUGCUGCAGAAUAUACUUGUCCAUUUUGGUUUUCUCCGGGGGCAAAGGCAUUGAUAGACAAGAUACUCGAUCCCAAUCCUAAAACUCGUAUACGGAUUGAAGGAAUUAAAAAGAAUCCAUGGUUUGAAAAAAAAUAUGUGCCUGUCAAAUAUAGUGAAGAAAGGGAAGUGAAUCUGGAUGAUGUUCGUGCAGUUUUUGAUGACAUUGAGGACCAAUAUGUGGCAGAACAGUCAGAAAAUAGUGAGAGUGGUCCUCUAAUAAUGAAUGCCUUUGAGAUGAUUACCCUGUCCCAAGGUUUGAAUCUAUCAGCAUUAUUUGACAGGCGACAGGAUUAUGUGAAGCGGCAAACUCGUUUUGUAUCCCGCAAACCAGCA
rnacentral:misc_RNA from 1 species